rnacentral:rRNA from 1 species
ACUCCUACGGGAGGCAGCAGUGAGGAAUAUUGGUCAAUGGAGGGAACUCUGAACCAGCCAUCCCGCGUGUAGGAAGACGGCCUUAUGGGUUGUAAACUACUUUUAUACAGGAAGAAACGUACCCUCGUGAGGGUGCCUGACGGUACUGUAGGAAUAAGCACCGGCUAACUCCGUGCCAGCAGCCGCGGUAAUACGGAGGGUGCGAGCGUUAUCCGGAUUUAUUGGGUUUAAAGGUCCGUAGGUGGAUAAUUAAGUCAGAGGUGAAAUCCUGCAGCUCAACUGUAGAAUUGCCUUUGAUACUGGUUAUCUUGAGUCAUUAUGAAGUGGUUAGAAUAUGUAGUGUAGCGGUGAAAUGCAUAGAUAUUACAUAGAAUACCAAUUGCGAAGGCAGAUCACUAAUAAUGUACUGACACUGAUGGACGAAAGCGUGGGGAGCGAACAGGAUUAUAUACGCUGGUAGGCUCUG